UACAGAGGGUGCGAGCGUUAAUCGGAAUUACUGGGCGUAAAGCGUGCGCAGGCGGUUCGUUAUGUCCGAUGUGAAAGCCCCGAGCUCAACUUGGGAAUGGCAUUGGAAACUGGCGGGCUGGAGUGUGGCAGAGGGGGGUGGAAUUCCACGUGUAGCAGUGAAAUGCGUAGAGAUGUGGAGGAACACCGAUGGCGAAGGCAGCCCCCUGGGCCAACACUGACGCUCAGGCACGAAAGCGUGGGGAGCAAACAGG
rnacentral:rRNA from 1 species